GGUUAGUCCGCAACGAGCGCAACCCCUAUUGUUAGUUGCCAUCAUUCAGUUGGGCACUCUAGCGAGACUGCCGGUAAUAAACCGGAGGAAGGUGGGGAUGACGUCAAAUCAUCAUGCCCCUUAUGACCUGGGCUACACACGUGCUACAAUGGUUGGUACAACGAGUUGCGAGUCGGUGACGGCGAGCUAAUCUCUUAAAGCCAAUCUCAGUUCGGAUUGUAGGCUGCAACUCGCCUACAUGAAGUCGGAAUCGCUAGUAAUCGCGGAUCAGCACGCCGCGGUCGAAUACGUUCCGGGCCUU
rnacentral:rRNA from 1 species